rnacentral:rRNA from 1 species
GACGAACGCUGGCGGCGUACCUAAUACAUGCAAGUCGAGCGGACUUUCAAGAAGCUUGCUUUUUGAAAGUUAGCGGCGGACGGGUGAGUAACACGUGGGCAACCUGCCUGUAAGACGGGGAUAACUCCGGGAAACCGGGGCUAAUACCGGAUAAUAUCUUUCUUCGCAUGAAGGAAGGUUGAAAGGCGGCGCAAGCUGCCGCUUGCAGAUGGGCCCGCGGCGCAUUAGCUAGUUGGUGAGGUAACGGCUCACCAAGGCGACGAUGCGAAGCCGACCUGAUAGGGUGAUCGGCCACACUGGGACGGAGACACGGCCCAGACUCCUACGGGAGGCAGCAGUAGGGAAUCUGCCGCAAUGGACGAAAGUCUGACGGAGCAACGCCGCGUGAGCGAAGAAGGUCUUCGGAUCGUAAAGCUCUGUUGUCAGGGAAGAACAAGUACCGUUCGAAUAGGGCGGUACCUUGACGGUACUUGACCAGAAAGCCACGGCUAACUACGUGCCAGCCGCCGCCGUAA